UACGUAGGGUGCAAGCGUUAUCCGGAAUUAUUGGGCGUAAAGAGCUCGUAGGCGGUUUGUCGCGUCGGGAGUGAAAUCCACUGGCUUAACUGGUGGCUUGCUUUCGAUACGGGCAGACUGGAGGUAUGCAGGGGAGAACGGAAUUCCUGGUGUAGCGGUGAAAUGCGCAGAUAUCAGGAGGAACACCGGUGGCGAAGGCGGUUCUCUGGGCAUGUCCUGACGCUGAGGAGCGAAAGUGUGGGGAGCGAACAGG
rnacentral:rRNA from 1 species